AUGAACGCUGGCGGCGUGCCUAAUACAUGCAAGUCGCGCGAACAGACGAGGAGCUUGCUCCUCUGACGUUAGCGGCGGACGGGUGAGUAACACGUGGAUAACCUACCUAUAAGACUGGGAUAACUUCGGGAAACCGGAGCUAAUACCGGAUAAUAUAUUGAACCGCAUGGUUCUAUAGUGAAAGACGGUUUUGCUGUCACUUAUAGAUGGAUCCGCGCCGCAUUAGCUAGUUGGUAAGGUAACGGCUUACCAAGGCAACGAUGCGUAGCCGACCUGAGAGGGUGAUCGGCCACACUGGAACUGAGACACGGUCCAGACUCCUACGGGAGGCAGCAGUAGGGAAUCUUCCGCAAUGGGCGAAAGCCUGACGGAGCAACGCCGCGUGAGUGAUGAAGGUCUUCGGAUCGUAAAACUCUGUUAUUAGGGAAGAACAAAUGUGUAAGUAACUAUGCACGUCUUGACGGUACCUAAUCAGAAAGCCACGGCUAACUACGUG
rnacentral:rRNA from 1 species